UACAGGAUGAACGCUGGCGGCGUAGCUUAACACAUGCAAAGUCGAACGAAGCAUUCCGUAACCCUCGGGGGAGGGAAUGACUGAGUGGCGGACGGGUGAGUAACGCGUGGGUAACCUGCCUUAGUACAGGGGGAUAACAGUUAGAAAUGACUGCUAAUACCGCAUAACCCGCUAGUACCGCAUGGUACGGACGGAAAAGAUUUAUCGGUAUAAGAUGGACCCGCGUCUGAUUAGCUAGUUGGUGAGGUAAAGGCCCACCAAGGCGACGAUCAGUAGCCGGCUUGAGAGAGUGAACGGCCACAUUGGGACUGAGACACGGCCCAAACUCCUACGGGAGGCAGCAGUGGGGAAUAUUGCACAAUGGGGGGAAACCCUGACGCAGCGACGCCGCCGUGAGCGAAGAAGGCCUUAGGGUCGUAAAGCUCUGUUUUAAGGGACGAAUGUCGCGGGUAAUAAUACGAUCUGCGAAUGACGGUACCUUAAGAGGAAGCCCCGGCUAACUACGUGCCAGCCGCUGC
rnacentral:rRNA from 1 species